rnacentral:rRNA from 1 species
AUUGAACGCUGGCGGCAGGCCUAACACAUGCAAGUCGAGCGGUAACACAGGGAGCUUGCUCCUGGGUGACGAGCGGCGGACGGGUGAGUAAUGUCUGGGAAACUGCCUGAUGAAGGGGGUAACUACUGGAAACGGUAGCUAAUACCGCAUAACGUCGCAAGACCAAAGAGGGGGACCUUCGGGCCUCUUGCCAUCAGAUGUGCCCAGAUGGGAUUAGCUAGUAGGUGGGGUAACGGCUCACCUAGGCGACGAUCCCUAGCUGGUCUGAGAGGAUGACCAGCCACACUGGAACUGAGACACGGUCCAGACUCCUACGGGAGGCAGCAGUGGGGAAUAUUGCACAAUGGGCGCAAGCCUGAUGCAGCCAUGCCGCGUGUAUGAAGAAGGCCUUCGGGUUGUAAAGUACUUUCAGCGGGGAGGAAGGCGAUAAGGUUAAUAACCUUGUCGAUUGACGUUACCCGCAGAAGAAGCACCGGCUAACUCCGUGCCAGCCGCCGCCGUAA